CAGCCGCCGCGGUAAUACGAAGGGUGCAAGCGUUAAUCGGAAUUACUGGGCGUAAAGCGUGCGUAGGCGGUGAGUUAAGUCUGCUGUGAAAUCCCCGGGCUCAACCUGGGAAUGGCAGUGGAUACUGGCUCGCUAGAGUGUGUCAGAGGAUGGUGGAAUUCCCGGUGUAGCGGUGAAAUGCGUAGAGAUCGGGAGGAACAUCAGUGGCGAAGGCGGCCAUCUGGGACAACACUGACGCUCAGGUGCGAAAGCGUGGGGAGCAAACAGGAUUAGAUACCCCAGUAGUCCCUGUCUCUUAUAC
rnacentral:rRNA from 1 species